AACAGUAGCCAUAUUACCUGCAGUUCUCUCUAGGUAAUCUAUUUGAAGCGAAGCAGGUUUGAGGUCUGGUCAGUACUUGGACGAGAUACUAACUAGGAACACUGGGUUGCUGCUGGAA
rnacentral:rRNA from 1 species